CACGGAGUUAGCCGAUCCUUAUUCUUACAGUACCGUCAAGUCCCUACUCGUAGGGAGGUUUCUUCCUGUACAAAAGCAGUUUACAAUCCAUAGGACCGUCAUCCUGCACGCGGCAUGGCUGGUUCAGAGUUGCCUCCAUUGACCAAUAUUCCUCACUGCUGCCUCCCGUAGGAGUCUGGUCCGUGUCUCAGUACCAGUGUGGGGGAUCUCCCUCUCAGGACCCCUAAUCAUCGUUGCCUUGGUAUGCCGUUACCACACCAACUAGCUAAUGAUACGCAUGCCCAUCUUAUACCGAUAAAUCUUUAUUAUCAAUACGAUGCCAUAUCGAUAAACCAUGGAGCAUUAAUCCGAAUUUCUUCGGGCUAUUCCCUGUAUAAGGUAGUUGCAUACGCGUUACUCACCCGUGCGCCGGUCUCAAAAAGCAAGCUCUUUCUACCCCUCGACUUGCAUGUGUUAGGCCUGCCGCUAGCGUUCAUCCUGAGCCAGGAUCAAA
rnacentral:rRNA from 1 species